rnacentral:misc_RNA from 1 species
GUCGUUCGCUCUCUUUGCUCGUCUCUUCUCUGCGGCCGCCUACUUCAAUCUCAUCGCUCGAAGAUGAAGUUCAAUAUCGCGAAUCCGACUACUGGAUGCCAGAAGAAGCUGGAAAUCGAUGAUGACCAGAAACUCCGUGCUUUUUUUGACAAGAGGAUCUCUCAGGAAGUCAGUGGAGAUUCCCUCGGGGAGGAAUUCAAGGGCUAUGUUUUCAAGAUUAUGGGAGGAUGU